rnacentral:rRNA from 1 species
GGUUGACCUCGGAUCAGGUAGGGAUACCCGCUGAACUUAAGCAUAUCAAUAAGCGGAGGAAAAGAAACCAACCGGGAUUGCCCCAGUAACGGCGAGUGAAGCGGCAAGAGCUCAAAUUUGAAAUCUGGCCCCUCCGGGGUCCGAGUUGUAAUUUGCAGAGGAUGCUUCGGGUGCGGCCCCUGUCUAAGUGCCCUGGAACGGGCCGUCAGAGAGGGUGAGAAUCCCGUCUUGGGCAGG